CCAGCACCCCGAGUGGUCGGGACGAUUAUUGGGCCUAAAGCAUCCGUAGCCGGUUUUACAAGUCCUCCGUUAAAUCCAACUGCUUAACAGAUGGGCCGCGGAGGAUGCUAUAAGACUAGGAGGCAGGAGAGGCAAGCGGUACUCAGUGGGUAGGGGUAAAAUCCGUUGAUCCAUUGAAGACCACCAGUGGCGAAGGCGGCUUGCCAGAAUGCGCUCGACGGUGAGGGAUGAAAGCUGGGGGAGCAAACCGGAUUAGAUACCCGGGUAGUCCCAGCUGUAAACGAUGCAGACUCGGUGAUGGACUAGCUUCAUGCUAGUCCAGUGCCGCAGGGAAGCCGUUAAGUCUGCCGCCUGGGUAGUACGGUCGCAAGACUG
rnacentral:rRNA from 1 species